GUGUCUCCAACUGCCACUUCCAGGCCACCCCUGAGCUUGAAUUCUGGGACCAGAGUUAGCAGUCCUGGUCACACUGCCAGAACUUAGGAUCAGGGGCCUGAGCAGAGGUCCAAAGGCGGGUGGGGAAGACCAAGCCCUCCUUGAGAAGAUUUGCCUGAGUGCUGUGUUCACUUUCUGUUCUGUUACUCAGUCCUCACUGGGUGUUGGAAGUCUUUUGCUUCUUGGCAUCGGCUGUGCACUUCCCACACUGCAGAGGAGGUCAUGGUGCCUGAGUUGGGGACAGCAUCCUGACAUCCAGGAUGAAGACUGGAGCCCAUGCUCCUGGCCCACACCCAGGAGUGUGUGGCAAGGUGCAGGAAUCGACCUCAGAUGUGGCUCAAGCCCUGGAAGUCACCAGGUCUCCCUCACUCCUGUGACCGCUUGAAGUAUGGACUGGUGCCCCUUCUGUGUACAAGCAUCUGCCUUCCUGUCCUUCACUCUGGCUGUGACACCAAGCUGGGAAGAAGCAGGACCAUCCUUUUGUUUCUCAGCAGACAGUUGGGAGCCUGCAGUGGCACAGGACCAGGGGCUGAGGCCUCCCAUGGUGACUUUCCUCACUAGGCUGACAGUUGCAGAGGGAUGCUGCAGCCUGGCAUGUUCUUGGAGGUUCCUGGUUGCCAUGCCUACCAUUGAUGUGACGACCACAGGUUGUGAAGUGGACUCCUUAAGACCCAGGCACAUGGAGUUCAGAAUCCAGCCUGUCUCCAGAUGCAGGACCCAGGGGCUCUGCUGGGGGCUCCAGGCAGCAGCUGGACAGUGUUGUGGGUGUUCAGCAAUGGCGUGA
rnacentral:lncRNA from 1 species